rnacentral:rRNA from 1 species
GGGUUGUGAGGUUAAGCGAAUAAGCGUACACGGUGGAUGCCUAGGCAAUCAGAGGCGAUGAAGGACGUGCUAAUCUGCGAAAAGCGUCGGUAAGGUGAUAUGAACCGCUAUACCCGACGAUAUCCGAAUGGGGAAACCCAGUAUCCAAUGGAUACUAUCAUUAACUGAAUCCAUAGGUUAAUGAGGCGAACCGGGAGAACUGAAACAUCUCAGUACCCCGAGGAAAAGAAAUCAACCGAGAUUCCCCUAGUAGCGGCGAGCGAACGGGGAGCAGCCCAGAGUCUUAAU